UACGGAGGGUGCAAGCGUUGUUCGGAAUUAUUGGGCGUAAAGCGCGUGUAGGCGGCCAGAUAAGUUGGGUGUGAAAGCCCUCGGCUUAACCGAGGAAGUGCGCCCAAAACUGCUUGGCUUGAGUACCGGAGAGGAUGGUGGAAUUCCCGGUGUAGAGGUGAAAUUCGUAGAUAUCGGGAGGAACACCAGUGGCGAAGGCGACCAUCUGGACGGAUACUGACGCUGAGACGCGAAAGCGUGGGGAGCAAACAGG
rnacentral:rRNA from 1 species